rnacentral:lncRNA from 1 species
GUUGGAUUUCCAGGAAAAAUGAUUGAUAAAUCAGUUAUUUUUUUUUUUUAUAAGUUAAAAGAAUUCUUACUACUUUAUCUGUAUAACACCUGAAUCCAUUCGCUGAUCUCAGCGUUUAGUUAUAAAACUCAUAAUUCUCCUGCACUCACAGGUUCGAAUUUUUGAUUCCGAAAUUUUCGUUACUACCUGUGCUAGAAAAAAAAACGAAAAAGAUUCUCGAAGCAAUCGAUUUUCUGACUUUUUUUUUCUCGUACCUGUAAUCACAAAAAGCACUCCGGUAAUUCCGGAAGCGUAUUUUAAGUCCGAACGGGAAAGGCCACCAUUCACUCCGAUGCGGAUGCCGACUCUAAUGAGAUUGGAUGGACACAACCAGUAAUGAAUCCAUCGCGUGAUGUCUGCCUCCCGUCCUUUCGGACAUCGAUUUUCGGGCGGAGCCUGUGCCAUGGUGAGGACUUUCUGUCUUUUACUCUUGCUGCCGAAUUCCCGCCCAUUCGUUGGCCCGACGCUGCUUAUCCCGUUUCACUCAACGAAAUCCUCACCGAAACCUUCUACUUUACACGUGGAAACCUGCCAUUAAGCAUUUUCUCGCCAGUACUAGAAUUGAAACUCCAGUUGAAACAGUUUAGGAAAAAAGGGGAUCUCUGAUAUGUGUGCAUUUCGAAGAAUAUCUGGCAUAUAAAAUUCCACUCUUCACUUUUUUUUUUCGUCUCAUCUAAUACCCGACAACCGUUUCCAUUUAAUGCUUUCUGCUCUGAAGUAACGUUCUGGACGAAUAAGAGUAUUUGGCAUAUUCUUCUAAGUAAUCGCAUUGUUUGACUGCCACGAAAUAUAUAUUCUAGAAGUGUCUAGGAAUACGUCAAAAAGCCAAACUUCUGAGUGAAAAUGGACGUGAGGCACAUCGAGGAUACGCAGAGAAGAGCAGCUGCCGGCUUAAUGACUAUAGCAGGUGUGCCGAAGUAGGUCGCCGACUAGUGACGCGAUAGCCUUUUUUUUUCGAGAUUUUUCCACAUAUUCCUCUCCAACGUGAAGAGGAAUCGGACUUUCAUUCUAUCAUCUAUUCCGAAGCACGUCUGAUUCAUUUCUUUCUUCUUUUUUUUUUGAAAGGGUAUUCUUCCGUGUUCGAAAAUUGGAUUCCGACUGUUUAACUAACUUUUUAUUGAGAAAGAGAAAACGCGCCAGGUGUUUAACUAUCGACUCCAUUUGUUCGAUCAGUUUCGACACCGAUGUUUCUUCGUCAGAUAUUCAACCUAUCAUCCGACUUACCAUGGCCUUCGCCGGCAUGGAAAGAUCGUCUAGUGGGAUUUUCUUGUCACUAAGUUUCGAAAGGAUCCCCGCACAACUAUUGGGUCCCCAAUAAGAACAUCAGACUGCUGUUUAUUCAGUAGAAUUCGGUUUAUAAUAAUCGAACAGAUUCGAUAUUCCAUAGAGCCCUUUCGCGACAUUAGUUCGUCGCGUUGCCGUGACAACCAAUGAACACGCCCAUUCCCUGGCUUCCUUUCCAUCAAUCAACGCCACCGGGUACCGCAGUCGGGUAUACGAAUUGAAUGUUCGAUAAUUUCGUUCUCCAAACGAAAUCCUAACGGUUAGUUUGUAUCGGCCUCCAUCCUCCACGGGAUUGGGGAUUAAUCCUAUCCGCCCCAUCUUAGCAGGAAAUGGGAGGAGUCGACCAACGAAUCUCUUCCAACCAUCCGGGAUGCAUUUUAUAUAAAAGCGACUAUCGUCGAGAGAGAGAGAAAACCAUUUUCCUUAAAUUUUCACGAUGGAAAGAAGCUGGAUAACUCAGGCGUGGAAUGCGGGGGUGGUUUCUGGAGUAAGCGGAAUCUGUCGAAUCCUCCUCCUCUCUCUCUCUCUCUCUCUCUCUCUAUCUUUCCAAGCAAUUCCAGCGACUUAAAAUCGAGAUAGCGUGGCAUUUUCUCUCGGACAGUUCCGCACCGUUUAGAACGGACGUGGUGUGUUGCUACGGGCAACCGUUCUUUGUUCUCGUCUCUUUGUUCUCGCUGACCGUGAAGUAUUCUGCCUGGUAAAACUAUUGUAGCCGCCACCAACUUCGCCAUUCUUAAACACGUUAAAGAAAGAGAGAGUCGCUCCGAAAACGG